UACAGAGGGUGCGAGCGUUAAUCGGAAUUACUGGGCGUAAAGCGUGCGUAGACGGUUAUUUAAGUCGGAUGUGAAAGCCCCGGGCUCAACCUGGGAAUUGCAUUCGAGACUGAAUAGCUAGGGUGCGGUAGAGGGAAGCGGAAUUUCCGGUGUAGCGGUGAAAUGCGUAGAUAUCGGAAGGAACAUCAGUGGCGAAAGCGGCUUCCUGGACCAGCACCGACGUUCAGGCACGAAAGCGUGGGGAGCAAACAGGAAUUAGAAACCC
rnacentral:rRNA from 1 species